UGUUCGUCGUGCAUGUCUUCCACCACCGUGCCCUUCUAUUUAUUGUAGUUUUCUUUAUUUAGCAGCAACAUAUAGCGCACGGGGUUCUGCAAAGGCCAUCAACCCUCGCGCGAUUUUGCGAGUUGCUGUUAACCGUGGUGUCGUUGUCCGCCAGUAGACAGACUGAGGAGGGUGGUGAUGAUGAUGGUGAUGGUGUGGAGGGUGUCGGUAAGUCGACAAGAAGCCCACCAGGCAAACAGGGACAGCGGGACUUCCGACCUCGCUUUGAAGGGCCACCCCCACACCCCUUACCGUUCAACCGUUUCCCUUCCUGCACCAUUUUUAUGUGCGUGAUAGAUGGUGGUGUGUUACAAGAUGUAUGUAUGGGUUUUAGAAAUCUGGAAUGACUUUAAAAAAAGGGAGGAGGGUAUAUGUGGAAACUGAAUAUUUUAAUGUUUUUUUGGUUAAUUUUUUUUUACAUAGGAAAAGCUCUGACAGAGUUUUUGUCAGAAAUCUUGCAUUUAGCAUAGAUGUAGGGACAUGAUAACUGACAGCUGAACAUUAAAAGUAAGCAGCAAACAAGUGAUUAUGUGCAAUAUUUUAAUCAAAGAUGUAUGGUAGAAACGUGAACCAUGAUUGUGCUAAAACCUAUUGCUAGACUGUUUACUUUGUUGAGUAUGUUUAUGUAUUUUACUGGGGACCUUGAUGGGUUGAGAGGUUAACUUUUAGUCAGAGUGUUAUUUGAAAGUUUAGAGUUGGGUUUAGUGUGUGUUAAAGUUUUGAAAGUGCUGCAUGCUGGAUCAGGGUGAACCAGUGACUAAUUUUUAGUGCUUUUCUCAGCAAAUAAAAGUUUUGUGAAAUUUGGUGGGAUGGAAGCAUUAAUGUGCACAAACAGGGACUGUGUGCAGGUUCUGUGUUAUGUAAAAAAUAUUGUUUCUUCCUGGUGCUCAUGAGAUGCCUUUCAUCCUUGCUUCCUUCCAGCUUUAUGGCACCUCAGAUUGAGAUAAUCUAGCAAAGAGUGUUAUCAAAAUGCUGUAACAUUUCGUUUGUGACGUGAUCUGUCCCUUGGGAAUUCCUUUUUGUAAGUUGUUUGACAUUCUCUUAAGCUCUUUUACUGUGAUAUCUUGUACCACACAUUCAUAGGCGUAACUUUUUUCCCUUUAUUCCUUCCUUCCUGAUUUUCAUAAGCAGAUUAUGUUGAAUUAAGAUACUGCUUUCAUGCACAUAGUUUUGUCCAGAUGCAUUUGCAGCUGAUUUCCCUGGAAAAGAUUUUUCUUAGAAAAUGAUUUGCUCCCCAUUGCUGCCAUUGUCAUCAAGGCUGCGGCCUGUUUGGACUUCUAACUCCUGUUUUGCCGUGGUCAGCUCCUGAUGUACCUUUUUUGUAGCUCCUCAGACAAGCAGGGGAGUUAAUUCUUCUUCUCAUGAUGGAGUUGCCUACCUCCAGCCCCAGAACCGAGCAUCUUCCUACACCACUGCUAAGAUAAGUUGUUGAUCUUACCAAGCUUCAGUCUCUUUCCCUUUUUUAUGUACGGUGUUAUAGCUAGGGGACUGGCUGUUAAAGUCCCCAGAAUUGAGGAAGCUGCUUUCCAGUACCUGGAUUGUGUCAAGUACAUCAUCUUAUCAUAGGGGCAAUAGUAGUUUGCAACAUUUAUGCUUGUCUCUUGUGAUUACCCUAAUUUAGAUUCAUUCAGCUUCUUCUUUAUUUCUUGGUUUUACUGGCAUUAAAGUCAUUUAUGGCUCAUAUCAUUACUUUUUUGGGGUCACUUCUAAAUGCCAUUUACUCUCUAAUCUUGAAGGAUUUUCCUUCCAAUUGAUGUGUUUGUUGUAUGCAGCAGGUGUUGAUGUUGUUUUGAUGCAGAUGAUGUUCUAGUUCAGUUUUCUUGUUGGCUGUUCCUUUUGCAUUGCUUAAUAGUGAUUUUGUUGUAUUUUUUGUUUUGUCUCUUUACUAGCCAUUAGUUUUCCUUUCUUAUCCCUAUACAUGUUAUCAAGAACAGUUUGCGUGGUAUUGUGGAAUAUGCUGUGCAGUCCUUGCCUUUUGUUUAGCACUCAGAGGCUUCUGUUAGGGUUGCAUCAUCCUUAGCUCAUAAGCUAUGUCCUGCCCUGUGAACCUUGGGUGGUGGUAGGAGUUAUUUGUUUUCCAUUGGAAGGAGUUUUAAAAGCUUAGACUGCAGCUUUUGGGGGCAUGAUGACCCUCCCAUAUUGGAUUUCAAAGCAUGUUUGGAAAGCAACGGCACCAUUAGUUGCUUUGCCCAUCCAGGUGAUUUUCACUGCUGUUUGGUCCAGGACUGCUUAUUCGUCCAUAUAUAUAGCUUAUUUCACAGUUAUCCUCUGUAUCUGGGGGCCACAGCUAUCUGCCUUCUGCGACCUGCUGGGUUGGGAUGGUUGCCCCACUAUCUAUUUGGUUUGGUGGUCUGGUCCCAUUAUAAUUCGUUGAAACAUGAAAGGACCUUGCAUCUGAUUUUUGAUGAUCAAACAUGCUCUCAUUAUAUUGUUGUUUUAAAGCUUCACAUGAACUGGUAUUUAGUGCAGAAUUUUUCUUCAUAGGGUGAUUGUUGUAUGAUCUUAUAUUUUUGUUUGUAAUGUGGAAUAAUGAGAAAAUAUACUAAGGAUAGAUCACAGAACUGUAAAAAAGGAACAGGUUUACUUGUUGUGUUGGGAAAGAGCAGUGCCAGAGGAAUUUGGCAUUAACCUGCACUGCCUUCGGGAAACUUUUUUUUUAACAAGAACAGAGUCAGUGGCUGUUGUUAUUUUACUUAUUGUCACUACAUACGUGACUGUGAUUGGAGGGUAAGUUGAUUUCUGAUUUUGUAAUUGCAGACAUUGUCUUCGAAGGGCAGUUCUAAUGGGCAUUCAUUUACAAAUGAUUCCUAUGAAAAGCUUUGCAACAUUUUAUUGCAAGUGACAGAGAUUUAUUAUUCAUGCCAAGUUUCACAAGUGGGUGGGAGGAGAGCAGACGCAGGAAUGCAAGAGCCAUAUUUACUUUAGGCUCAGUUCUUUCUUCUGUGAGCUUGUGCAAGAGUUUUUGUGCUGUUCGUGCAUCAUUGCUUCACUGGUGCGAAAGCAGUUUCUAUCUGUCCUAAAAAUAUAGUAAUAGUAUCAAAAUGACUUUCUUGCACUGAAUGGGACAAAGAACCUGUUACUUAUUUUUAAU
rnacentral:lncRNA from 1 species